UCUCAUUUGAGAGACUGCCAGUUUUGUUCGCAUUGUCGAACACAACACUAAACAAAUCACAUCAGAAAAAUUCAGAAAAAAAAGAAAAAAACAAUUUUCAAAUUUCAAUGGUCGAAAUUUGGAGGCCUUACCAGUGACGCUGCCCCAUACGAUGGCCGUGACGUCACUCCAACUUCAAGAAGUCAGCAGCCAUCUCCAACGACGAGGCCAGCCGCUACAACGACACUGGCCAACGAGCCAAAGCCAAUACCAUCGACAAUGCAUCCUGGGUGGCCGGACCAACAGCCACUCGGAUGCAACCAAUUCCAAUUAAUAGGAAACCUACUUAAAUUAUAAUGACUUAAUGGUUCUGCCAAAUCUGCCUUUCCGUCUCUACGACCGUGGCAGACGAGCGUAAU